AUUGAACGCUGGCGGCAUGCCUUACACAUGCAAGUCGAACGGCAGCAUGGGUGCUUGCACCUGAUGGCGAGUGGCGAACGGGUGAGUAAUGCAUCGGAACGUACCCGGAAGUGGGGGAUAACGUAGCGAAAGUUACGCUAAUACCGCAUAUUCUGUGAGCAGGAAAGCGGGGGAUCGCAAGACCUCGCGCUUCCGGAGCGGCCGAUGUCGGAUUAGCUAGUUGGCGGGGUAAGAGCCCACCAAGGCGACGAUCCGUAGCGGGUCUGAGAGGCUGAUCCGCCACACUGGGACUGAGACACGGCCCAGACUCCUACGGGAGGCAGCAGUGGGGAAUUUUGGACAAUGGGGGCAACCCUGAUCCAGCCAUGCCGCGUGAGUGAAGAAGGCCUUCGGGUUGUAAAGCUCUUUCGGCUGGGAAGAAAUCGCAUCCUCUAAUACAGGGUGUGGAUGACGGUACCAGCAUAAGAAGCACCGGCUAACUACGUGCCAGCCGCCGCCGUAAGAC
rnacentral:rRNA from 1 species